rnacentral:lncRNA from 1 species
AGGCGGCCAGCAGCCUCCGCGGGAGCAUGCCGCCUCCCGCAGGGCCCGCCGCGAGCUUCCGGGGCCCAAGGAACCAGUCCGGAGGGGCGCAGGCGGUGGUCGCAGCGUCCCCCUAAAUGGCCGGCCACGAACCCGUCUCACGGUCCCGCGGCCAGGAGCCGCCGCUCAUCUGUCUCUGCAGCCACCGCUGAGGAAGAGUCUCCUCUGAGGGGAGAGUCGGUCAUGGCAGCAGACGCCGGGAUGGCUCCGCGACUGCUACACCAGGCACUCCUGGGCCCGGGCAGCAGACCAGUCAGCCCUGUGGCUCCUCGGCGACCUCCAGCGGGCGCCCGGGGCCGGGAUGCAGGGCGCGCGGACAGAAACGAGACAGACAGCUCAGGCCCAGCAGCACGCAAGCUCCCGCGCCUUCCGCGACUGCCACACGCGCGGCGCGCGCGCACCCUACUUUUUCUCCGCCACCUGGGCCGUGAUUGGGCGCGACCUGGGCUCCUGGGUGCUCAUUGGCGCCGUGAAGUGCUCGUCACCGCCCCCUCCUGCCCCUUCAUGCAUGCGCGGAGGCCGCCUGCUAGCAAGGUAGGUGGCUCGGCGGCGAGAGCCGUCAAGGGCGCAUUGGAGAGUGACCCUCGGACCCGGCUGCCGCCGUCGCCGCCAUCUUCCGGCCGUCCCAGCCCCGCCCCGCGGAGAAACCUGGCCAGGUUCCUGUUAGAAUCCUGCCAGGUGUUAACUUGUUUUAAGAGGCCGGCACGCUGGCCCCCUUCUUUAUUAGAGUGCAGGGUGGGGGCGGGGCUCCGCAUGUCUCUGCGGGGGCUGGGGGCUCCCAGUGAUAACCGCCAUUGCAGAAUUAAAACUGAGACAGUGAAAGAGAUCUGACCUAACCAAUUCCAUCUUGCUUCUGUCCUUGUUCAUUCCUGAGCUUAGGUGAACUAAUUUUGGGAGGAACUUAGUUUAUAGUUUAAAAUAAAGAGGAUAACAGCCCUUUCCCAAAACAAAUCUUCUUAUCUGGGAACUAGACUGCCUUUGUAGGACUAAUAAGUUAGCCAUAAGAUUGGAAAUUAUGGUUUAGGAGUCAUGCAGCUGGAGGCUACGAUAUUGUGAUCCCCCUAAACUGCUCUUAAGAUCAGUGCUUGAGAUAUUUUGCUGACCCCGCACUGGUUGGAUCCUGGCACCACCCAGAUGGAUAAACUGGCUCAUCUGACCUUGUGGCCCCCACCCAGGAACCAACUCAGUGCAAGAGGACAGCUUCAAUUCCCUAUUAUUUCAUCUCGACCCAACCAGUCAACACUCUGGACUCACUGGCCUUCCCCCACCCACCAAAUUAUCCUUAAACACUCUGAUCCCGGAAUGCUAAGGGAGACUGAUUGAGUAAUGUUGAAACAAACUCCAGUCUCAUAGUGGGCUCUGCGUGAAUUACUCUUUAUUGCAGUUCCCCUGUCUUGAUAAAUCGGCUCUGUCUAGGCAGUGGGCAAGGUGAACCCAUUGUACGGUUACAAAUUUGGGGGUUCGUCUGGGAUACCCCUUGUGGCUACCUGUCCAUGGUUCGGUAGCCCCACCUCUGGUGACAGAUCCAGAGGCCAGCCUAAGCGGCCACAUAGUUCUCUUGGACUAGGGGCUAACUCUGGCACCGUCUCUGCCAGUGGGGCACUGCUAGCCCAAUAUGCAUGGACUUAAUCGCAAUGGAGAAAUAGUCCUGGGGAGACAUCCCAUAACUGUAGCCCUGUCACAGGGUAUCUGUAGCUCCAUAGCGGGGCGCUGUAGCCAGGUCAUGGAGUGUCUGUAGCUAUAGCCCCAUCAUGGGGUGGCAGGUUGCUGAGUAUCCUAGGUGCUGCCAGUGCCUCCUUCCUUCUCCGGACUGAUUCUGUAGCCACAUGGUGGGUGUCUGUAGCUCCACCAUGGGGUGUCUGUCUCAGUUUGGCUCCUGGGGCAUCCCAGUUGGCUGUCCCUAACUAGGAAGAGUCUUGGUUCGGGAGACUUCUCAAUCAGGAAUAUUUCAGGGAGAUUUGUCAGAUGGAGAAUAGGAGGAUAGUUUGGAAGGGGUACUCUUGGAGUUCUUGGUUAGGGACCUUAAUUUGGAAGGCCUUCUGUCUGUCUUGUCUUCGUGUGUGUGUUUGUAUAUAUGGAGGGGAUCUCUGAAGGAAUUGCUGAUGAAAAUCCAGCAGGCCUAACUUGGAGAACACUCCUUAUUUAUCUAGUCACAUUCAGUGAGCCCUGAAAGAAGUUUAACAGGCCUGAUUCAGGGUGACUGCUCAGAGACCACCCAUUGAAUUCACGAUUCAAUGACCCACCGUGCCUGGCCUUAAAAGGAUUUUUUCUUAGAAAAAAGAGCUCUAGGCCGGGCAUGGUGGCUCACACUUUUAAUCCCAGCACUUUGGGAGGCCAAGGCGGGCGGAUCACGAGGUCAGAAGAUCCAGACCAUCCUGGCUAACACGGUGAAACCUCGUCUCUACUAAAAAUACAAAAAAUUAGCCGGGCGUGGUAGUGGGCACCUGUAAUCCUAGCUACUCGGGAGGCUGAGGCAGGAGAAUGGCGUGAACCCGGGAGGUGGAGCUUGCAGCAGUGAGCCGAGAUCGCGCCACUACACUCCACCCUGGGCGACAGAGCGAGACUCCGUCUCAAAAAAAAAAAAAACAAAGUUGACUUAUAGAGCCAAUAAGCCAAAAAAUUGACUUAUAGAGCCCCUUGGGAAAUCUGGCCUCAUACUAUGUCAACACAGUCCCUGUACGAGGUUCCUGACCUGUGGUAAGUAAAGAAUGUCACUUUCUAACAGGCUCAGGAGACCUAAGUUAUCUUGACACCUCAAGAGGAGAGGAAUUUACCCAACUCAUAGGUAUUCGAGGGUACAAACCCAUGGCUGGGCUUGGCUUUAAAAAGGUCUUAUCUAAGAUUUCUUAUGGAACAGAGUUCCAUCAAAGCCAAUUUUAAAAGCCUAUGUGAAGGCCAGGCGCAGUGGCUCACACCUGUUAUCCCAGCACUUUGGGAGGCCAAGGCAGGCAGAUCACAAUGUUAGGAGUUUGAGACUAGCCUGGCCAACAUGGUGAAACCCUGUCUCUACUGAAAAUACAAAAAGUUAGCUGGGCGUGGUGGCAGAUACCUGUAAUCCCAGAUACUUGGAAGACUGAGGCAGGAGAAUCGCCUGAGCCUGGGAGGCGGAGGUUGCAGUAAGCCACGAUCGCACCACCGCACUCUAGCCUGGGCCACGAAGCAAGACUUCAUCUCAAAAAAAAAAACAAAGCCUAUGUGAAAAAUAAUUAUUCUUGCUUCACUUUAUGCAAAUCAUCAGGCCAAGUACAAUAAGACUGCGGUUUAUUUUGUAAACAAAUCAGUUCUAUCAUGAUUUGUUUUUAGUAAAAAUGGGAACUGGAGAGAGAAAAAUUAUGCUUCAGAAGAAAAACUGUGGUACACCUUUUGUUAACUGUUCUUAAGUUUUUUUCUGCAGUUUGAACUAAAUCCUAAAUUCUUUGUGGGCUACAAGUUCCCAGGCUAAUGCUUUUAAAUCUUUACUUUUAAAACUGGGAACUGCACUCCUUACCCUAGUACUCAUUAUUUCCCUUAUAGUACACGGUUCCCUUAAACACAGUACGAAAACUAUAGGUGGCAAUACUAAUGCCUUUGCCAUGCAAGCCUUCGAACCCCAGUCAGGCCUGCAGGAGUACACUCAGACAGUUGCAAAGUGGUUCCACUCCUCUCACCUUGGAGUCAACACCUACCCCUCACUACACCCCUGGUUAGUAGGAAGAAGUUAAGGUCUUUGCCCUUUUUCCAUCUUCAUUAACAACACCUUAAGAUAAAGGUGUUAUAAACCCAAAGGGAGGGAUUAAAACCACCAUUGCAAAAUUAUAACUGAGACAGAGAGAUCUGACCUAACCAACUCCAUCUUGCUUCUAACCUCCAAGUUGUCCUUAUUCAUUCCUGGGCAUAGGCUGAACUAACUUUGGGAGGGACGUAAUUUAUAGUUUAAAACAAAGAGGAUAACAGCCAUUUCUCAAAACAAAGGUCCUUGCCUGGAGACUAGACUGCCUUUGUAGGACUAACAAAUUAGCCACAAGGUUAGAAGUUAAGGUUUAAGAGGCUACAAGAUUCUGACCCUCCCUGAACUGCUCCUAAGAUCAGUGCUUGAGAUAUUUUGCUGACCUUGCACUUGAUGGAUCGGCUGGCACCACCCAGAUGGAUAAAAUGGCUCAUUUGAUCUGUGACCCCCAACCGGGAACCAGCUCAGUGCAAGAUGACAGCUUCAAUUCCCUAUGAUUUCAUCUCGGACCCAACCAAUCAGCACUCUGGACUCACUGACCUUCCCCCACCCACCAAAGUCUCCUUUAAAACUCUGGGUUGGGGCCUGGCACAGUGGCUCAUGCCUUUAAUCCCAGCACUUUGGGAAGCUGAGGUGGGCGGAUCACCUGAGGUCAGGAGUUUGAGACCAGCCUAACCAACAUGGCGAAACCUCGUCUCUACAAAAAAUACAAAAAUUAGGCAUGGUGGUGGGCGCCUAUAAUACCAACUAUUUGGGAGGCUGAGGCAGGAGAAUCGCCUGAACCCAGGAGGCCAAGGUUGCAGUGAGCCACAAUAGCGCUAUUGCACUCUAGCCUGGGUAACAGAGCGAGACUGCGUCUCACAAAAAAAAAAAAAAAAAAGGUCUCUUGGCCAGGUGCAGUGCGGUGGCUCACGCCUGUUAUCCCAGCACUUUGCUGGGAGGCCAUGGCAGGCAGAUCACUUGAGGUCAGGAAUUCAAGACCAGCCUGGCCAGCAUAGCAAAAUCCCGUCUCUACUAAAAAUACAAAAGUUACCUGGGCAUAGUAGUGCACCCCUGUAAUCCCAGCUAUUAGGGAGGCUGAGUGAAGCAGGAGAAUUGCUUGCACCUAGUAGGCAGAGGUUGCAGUGAGCUGAGAUCACGCCACUGCACUCCAGCCUGGUCAACUGAGCGAGACUCCAUCUCAAAAAAAAAAAAAAAAAUUGAUCCCCAAAUGCUCAGGGACACUGAUUUGAGUAAUGAUGAAACUCUGGUCUCCCGCACAGUGGGCUCUGCGUGAGUUACUCUUUCUCUAUUGCAAUUCUCUUGUCUUGAUAAAUCAGCUCUGUCUAUGCAGCAGGCAAGGUGAACCCAUUGGGUGGUUACACCAGGAUGGGGUAGGGGGCAGUAAAGACACCACUGGUGAAGGGGGACUCCUCAGGCCUUCGACGCCUGCCAUCAAAACCUUCCUUCGACGCCUGCCAUCAAAACCUUCCCCGGCCUCCCCUCCUGGCUCUCCCAGAAGCACCCCAAACAUUCCUCUCUGCUAACUCCUCGGUCCAAGAAUGGACCCGUGUCACAGCCUGAGCGCCCAGGACAGUCCAGAGGGAGUCACAUGGGCAGGUGGCCCGUCGCAGUCUGCAAAUAUGUCAGCCUUUUGGUAAAAGAGCAACAGAAGAGAGUUUGUUGGGGCAGAUGCCCUAGGUCAAGUAGUAGCUGUCCCUCUCUUUUUGACCCAAAGGUGACAGUGUUGGAAGGUAAACAGAUUUACUCACCUGUGAGCAACCUGGCUAAAUGAUCUCAAAGUGUAUUAAAUUACUAUUCUGUAUCCAGCCUCAUUAAAACAAAGCUGCUAAGUUGUUUCCUUACCCUUUUAAAUCUUAUAUUUAAGCACCUUAUUGACAGAAGAAAAAAUAUUAUAAACUGUCUUGGUGUGAAAUGGACUGCUGGUUCCAAGGCAUUUAGGAAUUUUACUGUAGCUAAAGAGUUAUGCGAUUUUAGACGUUCUUAAUAAAAGUAACUGUUUCUCCAAAGAGAGAUUAUGCUUUCCUGGGAACCGAAAUUUAGGUCUUUCCUAUCCAGCCUGUCCGAUUUUAGGUUGGAUUAAUGAGGUUUUAUUUCAUCUGGAAAGCAGUGAAGAAGAAAUGUGUAUGUAACAGAAAGUAGUAUUUGACACCGUGUUUAGCCAGGGGUUUUUUGUUUUGUUUUGUUUUGUUUUGAGACGGAGUCUCACUCUGUUGCCUAGGCUGGAUCUUGGCUCCCUGCAACCUCUACCUCCUGGGUUCAAGCAAUUCCCAUGCCUCAGCCUCCCAAGUAGCUGGGAUUACAGGCCCAUGCCACCAUGCCCAGCAAAUUUUUUGUAUUUUAGUAGAGACGGAGUUUCACCAUGUUGCCCAGGCUGGUCUCGAACUCCUGACCUCAGGCGAUCUGCCUGCCUCGGCCUCCCAAAGUGCUGGGUUUGCAGACAUAAGCCACUACACCCUCUCUCUAAAAACAUUUUUAAAAGGAGCCAAUGAGGCCUGCGCAAGCCCCAACCCAUUGGUGGUUUGUUGUUGCUAUCUGCCUCAUAAAGCAGAGUGGAGGGUUUGUCUUUUGGGAAGAUGAAGUGUCUUCUCUAAAAAAGCCUCCUACAUAGUUGGCCUUGGCAUCUGCCAGGAAUAGAAGGGCAGGGCUUGAGGCUUCCUGAGUCUGGGUUUUCAGUUGAGGUGGAGAGUGAAUACAGUGAUUGUAACCAGAAAACCCGGAGUGGGGUGGAGUUACCUCCGGAACUCAUCACUGUUAACUCAGCCUGGACUUUGUGACAGUUAGAGAAGUGGAUUUCUUAAUAAUAAUAAUUUUUUUAAAGGAGCACUUUGGCCGGGUGCGGUGGCUCACGCCUGUAAUCCCAGCACUUUGGGAGGCCAAGGCGGGCGAAUCACCUGAGGUCAGGAGUUCGAGACCAGCCUGGCCAACAUGGUGAAACCCCAUCUCUACUAAAAAUACAAAAGUUAGCCAGGUGUGGUGGUGCAUGCCUGUAAUCCCAGCUACUUGGGAGGCUGAGGCAGGAGAAUUGCUUGAACCUGGGAGGCGGACGUUGCAGUGAGCCGAGAUCAUGCCAUUGCACUCCAGCCUGGGCUACAGAGGGAGACUCUGUCUCAAAAAAAAAAAAAAAAAAAAAGGAGUACUUUGUGGGUUUGAUUUUAUAUGUAUACAUAAGUUUUCUACCAAUAUCCUAUAAACCAAACGAAUCCUCAGAAACUCCUGCUGAGCCUCUCUAAUGCAGCCAUUUUCUCCAUCCUACUGCCUGUUUCCCAUCAGUACAUAAACAUAAUCGAGUUCAUCUUCAAAAAAGGCUUUGGGGAUAAAAGUCUUUAAAAAGAGGCUUUAACUCUUCCCCUUUCUAGAUACCACUUCUCUUUCCACUGCUAAGUUGUUUUUUUUUUUUUUUUUUUUUUUUUUUUUUUUUGAGACGAAGUCUUGCUCUGUUGCCCAGGCUGGAGUGCGGUGGCUUGAUCUUGCCUCACUGCAACCUCUGGCACCCGAGUUUAAGCGAUUCUCCUGCCUCAGCCUCUGAAGUAGCUGGGAUUACAGGCGCGUGCCACCACGCCCAGCUAAUUUUUGUAUAUUUAGUAGAGACAGGGUUUCAGCAUCUUGGCCAUGCUGGUCUUGAACUCCUGACCUCGUGAUCUACCCGCCUCGGCCUCCCAAAGUACUAGGAUUACAGGUGUGAGCCACCGCGCCCGGCCUAUAUAUUUUUAAAAACAAUGGCAUAUACAGGUGGCCCUUUGUAUUUACGGGUUCUGCAUCCAGGGAUUCAACUAAUUGUGGAUGGAAAAUAUUUGGGAAAAAAAAUUGCAUCUAUACUAAACAUGUACCCACUUUUUUGUCAUUAUUCCCUAAACCAGCGGUCCCCAAACUUUUUGGCACCAGGGACUGGUUUCAUGGGAGACAGUUUUUCCACGGACGGGGUAGGAUGGUUUUGGGAUGAAACUGUUCACCUCAGAUCAUCAGGCAUUAGUAAGAUUCUCAUAGCAACCUAGAUCCCUAGCAUGCACAGUUCACAAUAGGGUUCGCUCUCCUGUGAGAAUCCAGUGUCACCGCUGAACUGACAGGAGGCAGAGUUCAGGCGGUAAUGCGCUGUGAGCACCCCUCCCCUAAACAAUACAGUAUAACAACUGUAGAGCAUUUACGCUGUAUUAGUUAUAAGGAAUCUAGAGAUGAUUUAAAGUAUAUGGGAGUAUGUACAUAGAUUAUGUGCAAAUACUAUGCCAUUUUAUAUCAGGGACUUGAGCAUCCACAGGAGGUCCUGGAACAAAUCCCCCGCAGAUACCAAGGGACAACUAUAUGUUUCCUGCCUCUAUUUCUGUACCUCCCUAUCAUUUCUUCCUGUUUAGAAAUUAAAAAAUCAAUUUUUUGACAGAAUUCUGUCACUUUUUUUAAGGUUCUAAUAGUACUGUCUCAGAUGACCUCCCUUCAAAUAAACCAACUUUUUUUUUUUUUUUUUUUUUUUUGAGACAGGGUCUCACUCUGUCACCCAGGCUGGAGUGCAGUGGCUUGAUCUCUGCUCACUACAACUUCCGCCUCCCAGCUCAAGCAAUUCUCCUGCUUCAGCCUCUCAAGUAGCUGGGACUACAGGUGCAUGCUACCAUGCCUGGCUAAUUUUUGUAUUUUUUUGUAGAGACAGGGUUUUGCCAUGUGGACCAGGCUGGUCUCGAACUCCUGGGCUCAAGAAAUCCACCUGCCUCAGCCUCCCAAAAUGCUGGGAUUACAGGCAUGAGCCAUGGUGCUCCACCUGUUAUCAACAAACUUUGUUUACUUGUGUAUCCCCAGAACAAUGUUGAAAAACUAUAUCCCCACUUUGCAUUUUUUAAGGUGAUCCAAGAUUAUGAGUUUAAAUGAUUGCACAUUACACCAUUUCUGGAUUGUUGUAAAUAUUAUUUUAAAAUAAAGAUGUUACAUCAUUUU